ACAAGUUUAGCUAUGAAACUCUAUCUGCUAACAAUUUUUGCCGUGUUGGUCCUUUUGGUCCUUCCACCAGCCGCAAAUGCGCAAGCGCAGAUUGCCACUGAGGAACCAACACCGUCAAAUUCUACAAUUCCUCAGGACCCUCCAGGUUCUCUAGGCCCUCCAGAACCCCCAGGCUUUCCAGGUUCUCAUGGCUCUCCAAGUCCUCCAGGCCUUCCAAGAACUCCAGGCCMUCAACCAGUUGAUCCAUUCAGUAUAACUGGAUAUUUUAGUGGUCUAUGAAUAUAGUGUCAUAUAAUGUCUAUUUGUGUGUUGAAUUUGAAGUUCGUAUGCUCAACAGCUAGACCAUCCAAAUUUGAUGAAAACGAAAAUGAAGCACACGUACAAAUAUCUCGCAGCUCUUUGUUCCCACUUUCUUAUAACUGUUGCCUCAGAUGACGAUGUUAGCCCACCCGUGCAGGACGGAGAUGUCAAGGUGCCACUUAUACGAGAGCCACGUGAUGCUUUCUUUUGAUUCUUAAGUCAAAUGGAAACUAAAAUCUACUUUGUUUAAUGGUUAAUUGUAAUUGGUUUAUUAUUAUUAUUUUAUUUUUCUUUAUAAAAAUAUAAAUAUUAUUUUAAAUCAGA